rnacentral:rRNA from 1 species
GUUAACAGUGGGCCAUCAGCUGGGGUACAUGGUAGGAGGAAAAGGUUGUCCGGGGUGACUGGGCGUGAAGGGCGGUCAGGAGGGCAGUGGGGUUCCGGUGGAAGGAUCCGAGCGAAACUCGGAGAGGUUCCGGAAAACGGGCUGGCUUGAGCGGCGGAGAGGGGCAUGGAACUCCGGGUGGAGCGGUGAAAUGCGUAGAGAUCCGGAAGAACACCAAUGGCGAAGGCAGUGCCCUGGCCGACUGCUGACGCUCAGGCGCGAAAGCGUGGGGAGCAAACAGGAUUAGAUACUCGAGUAGUC